ensembl:lncRNA
CUUAAAAGGGACGGCGGCAUAAAUACAGCACGCACGGAAUAUUCUCCCUUCCUGUUCAGAAACUCGGGGGGGAAAAAAAAAAAAGGAAAAAAAAAAAAGGAAAAAAAAAAAGCGGGGAAAAAAAAAGGCAGGAAUAAAUACCUGACCUCCCGGGGAGCGGCGCCGGGAGAGAGUUCCGCGGGGCAGGGUGACCCCUGCCGGGGGCGCUUUGUGCUGGAAUUCCGGGGAAAAUCCCAGGGCAAGAGCAGCAAGCUGCACUCAAGCCUGUGCGCUCAGAGGAGCUUGACUACGUGUUACAGCAUCGUGCACCGACCAUUUCUUCAUCAUGCAAGCAGGAGGCUCCAAAAGGCCUCCCCACACACAAUGCCUGAGUGCUUGGCCUGUGAUUUAAGAGAAGAGUGGUCCUGUGCUGGAGCUGGAUUUCCUUGGCUGGGAAAGUGGAAAGGAAGAAUGUGUCACCUGUAGCUGAAGGUGCCUGUGAAGCAGGAGAAUGAAGAAUUCUGCAGGGCACUGGAGUGAGCACAAGCACAGACUGGGCUGCAGUUAGAAUGAUGAGUGUGCAUCCAGUCUGUGCACUUGCCUCUCAGAGCACGAUCCUUGAGUGAGCAGCCCCAGAGACACGUACAAACUGUAAAGUUGUUUUGGUCACCUACCUGUUUCUACCUCUCUUCAGGGGAGAGUUACUUUGGUAAGUACUGCACACAUCUGUCUGCAUUUCAUAUGCAGGCACACAGGCAUAAAUAUUGAUGCACUAAUUCAAAUAUAUGCGAGUAGCAGGCACAACAUCCCAAGGAUUUGUUUAUAGGAUCGCAGCACGGCAUUCUCUGAGCAUCAUCUGUGAGGAAUACAGGAAUGCACUGGUGGUACCUUCUACCCUGACUGGCAAUCCACUCCUAGCCAAGGAUGCAAAUGGAUAAGCUCCAGUGCUUUCUGCAAGGCGCUGUGCCAGCAUGAUACAGAUGAUGGGGAAGAGCUGAACAGAUACUUAACAUCUCUGUGUGUGUCUUCCCCAUUCUGUCACAAGAGUACCUCAUAUAAAUAAAUAAAAGGGAUGCUGUUAAGUCAUGCCAGUCAAAAAAAAAGUCUGUAGACAGACUCUGGCUGCCUGCCCGGUAGUGCUAGGUUUUCUAGGCGAUGGAUGAAGCAUAUACUUGUGUCUGAGAAAGUAUUUAACUGGUGAUCAAUGGACUUCUGGAGACCUGGGAUGAUUUCUGAAGGAGAUGCUAAAUGUAAAUAAGAGAAGAAAGGCUCUUGUAAUGGGAUUUCAAUCUACUCCACAGGAAUCAGCACCUCUGUUAAAAAAUGCAGAGGUUUCAAAGGUGUAAGGAGUUGUUGACACUUUUUUUUUUUUCAUUUACGGAAAAAUUCACGAAUGCUGUAGGGCACUUGAUGCCAAGACUGCUCUGCCUUUUCUCUGUCACACUGACAUUGGUGGGACUUUGGUGAGUGAAACUGCAGGAUCCCACUGUCAGUUAGACAUGAGUUUGGUGUUUGGAUUUUUUAUUUUAGGGGGUGUGUAUUCCUUUCUCUCCAUGUAGGGCUAGUAACAGGUCCCUAUUUCUUCAGUUAAGUGACUUCCUGUGGUUGGGAUUUGGAAAUCAGUAGAACUUUUUGAAUUGCUUUAUUCUUCUGUCCUUGAAUCUCUUUUAGGAAGUUGGUGUCUCUGAACCACCUCUAGAGUAAUUGGAGGGCAGACUUCUGUGAGGUUUGUGCUUGUUUAAACAGUAAAUUAAAUUGCAGUGAAGCUGUGCUAUACCUCACAGAUAGGAUGAUUAUGAUGUUAAAAUGGUACUGGUAGGCCCACGCCUCCAGCCCCACGGGAGUCCUUAAUAGAAAACAAGGAGCUAUAACAUCGCUGACCCUGUAAGACUUGACCUUGGGGUGUGUGGGAAAACACCAACCUGCUGAAACCUUCCCCCUUCCCACACUCCAGCAUGGAAGAAGGCAGACGGUGCUAAUUUUUGCUGAGGAGAAAGCAGAGGCAAGUGUGGGACUGUUUCUAGAGCAGAAGCACCUGACGGCUUUCGAGUGUGUGUAACUUUUAAUGGAAAAUUAGAAAUGAGCCCAAGCUGAAUUUCAAUUAUCGUAAGAUAUAAAUUAAAAAUAGAGUUGAAGCUUCAGAUCAAAAUGUUCAUUUUUGACUAUGUAGUUUUGACUUUGCUACAUGAGCUUUCCUUGUGUUUUGAUAUUGUCAAAAUCACUUUACAGCAACAAAUCCCAGUAGAUUAUAAAAACACCUUGUAAUAUUUUAGUUUGUUAAGUUAAAGGUUUACAGCAGCAGGCUGUGGUUUGAAAAUCACACUUCCAUGAGUCUGGAACCGGGCUGUUGGUUCCCAAUGGGAAAGGAAUGGACGGGGAAGGGGGUGUUGAGGUGUGUUUUAUUGUCACGUUCGGUGCCAGUCUGUGAUUGGGGGUGGCAGCAGCUCAGGACAGCGCAAAUCCCGCUGGGGCUACAGCCGCAGCCUAAAAAACAAAUGAAUUCUCCCUUUCUGGGUGGGAGCUGAAGCCAUCCCAGGUUUGCCUCUAUGCAUUCCUACGCAGCAUCUUCCCCUUGUCCGCUCCUCUGCGCUCAGAGCCGUUCUGCUUCGCUUCCCUUCCGACCACCAAUUCCUACGC